rnacentral:rRNA from 1 species
UACGUAGGUGGCAAGCGUUGUCCGGAUUUAUUGGGUUUAAAGGGUGCGUAGGCAGCCCUGUAAGUCAGUGCUGAAAUAUCCCGGCUUAACCGGGAGGGUGUCAUUGAUACUGCGGGGCUAGAGUACAGAUGAGGUAGGCGGAAUUGACGGUGUAGCGGUGAAAUGCUUAGAUAUCGUCAAGAACACCUAUAGCGAAGGCAGCUUACUAGGCUGUAACUGACGCUGAGGCACGAAAGUGUGGGGAUCAAACAGG